rnacentral:rRNA from 1 species
CCUGAUCCAGCCGUGCCGCGUGAGUGAAGAAGGCCCUAGGGUCGUAAAACUCUUUCGCCUGUGAUGAUAAUGACAGUAGCAGGUAAAGAAACCCCGGCUAACUCCGUGCCAGCAGCCGCGGUAAUACGGUGGGGGUUAGCGUUGUUCAGAAUUACUGGGCGUAAAGCGCACGUAGGCGGAUUAGAAAGUUAGAGGUGAAAUCCCGGGGCUCAACCCCGGAACUGCCUUUAAAACUACUAGUCUAGAGUUCGAGAGAGGUGAGUGGAAUUCCGAGUGUAGAGGUGAAAUUCGUAGAUAUUCGGAGGAACACCAGUGGCGAAGGCGGCUCACUGGCUCGAUACUGACGCUGAGGUGCGAAAGUGUGGGGAGCAAACAGGAUUAGAUACCCUGGUAGUCCACACCGUAAACGAUGAAUGCCAGUCGUCGGGUAGUAUACUAUUCGGUGACACACCUAACGGAUUAAGCAUUCCGCCUGGGGAGUACGGUCGCAAGAUUAAAACUCAAAUGAAUUGACGG